rnacentral:rRNA from 1 species
GACGAACGCUUGCGGCGUGCUUAACACAUGCAAGUCGAACGGAAAGGCCCUGCUUUUGUGGGGUGCUCGAGUGGCGAACGGGUGAGUAACACGUGAGUAACCUGCCCUUGACUUUGGGAUAACUUCAGGAAACUGGGGCUAAUACCGGAUAGGAGCUCCUGCUGCAUGGUGGGGGUUGGAAAGUUUCGGCGGUUGGGGAUGGACUCGCGGCUUAUCAGCUUGUUGGUGGGGUAGUGGCUUACCAAGGCUUUGACGGGUAGCCGGCCUGAGAGGGUGACCGGCCACAUUGGGACUGAGAUACGGCCCAGACUCCUACGGGAGGCAGCAGUGGGGAAUAUUGCACAAUGGGCGGAAGCCUGAUGCAGCAACGCCGCGUGCGGGAUGACGGCCUUCGGGUUGUAAACCGCUUUCGCCUGUGACGAAGCGUGAGUGACGGUAAUGGGUAAAGAAGCACCGGCUAACUACGUGCCAGCAGCCGCGGUGAUACGUAGGGUGCGAGCGUUGUCCGGAUUUAUUGGGCGUAAAGGGCUCGUAGGUGGUUGAUCGCGUCGGAAGUGUAAUCUUGGGGCUUAACCCUGAGCGUGCUUUCGAUACGGGUUGACUUGAGGAAGGUAGGGGAGAAUGGAAUUCCUGGUGGAGCGGUGGAAUGCGCAGAUAUCAGGAGGAACACCAGUGGCGAAGGCGGUUCUCUGGGCCUUUCCUGACGCUGAGGAGCGAAAGCGUGGGGAGCGAACAGGCUUAGAUACCCUGGUAGUCCACGCUGUAAACGGUGGGUACUAGGUGUGGGGUCCAUUCCACGGGUUCCGUGCCGUAGCUAACGCUUUAAGUACCCCGCCUGGGGAGUACGGCCGCAAGGCUAAAACUCAAAGGAAUUGACGGGGCCCCGCACAAGCGGCGGAGCAUGCGGAUUAAUUCGAUGCAACGCGUAGAACCUUACCUGGGUUUGACAUGGAUCGGGAGUGCUCAGAGAUGGGUGUGCCUCUUUUGGGGUCGGUUCACAGGUGGUGCAUGCCUGUCGUCAGCUCGUGUCGUGAGAUGUUGGGUUAAGUCCCGCAACGAACGCAACCCUUGUUCACUGUUGCCAGCACGUUAUGGUGGGGACUCAGUGGAGACCGCCGGGGUCAACUCGGAGGAAGGUGGGGAUGACGUCAAGUCAUCAUGCCCCUUAUGUCCAGGGCUUCACGCAUGCUACAAUGGCUGGUACAGAGAGUGGCGAGCCUGUGAGGGUGAGCGAAUCUCGGAAAGCCGGUCUCAGUUCGGAUUGGGGUCUGCAACUCGACCUCAUGAAGUCGGAGUCGCUAGUAAUCGCAGAUCAGCAACGCUGCGGUGAAUACGUUCCCGGGGCU